rnacentral:rRNA from 1 species
UACGUAGGUGGCAAGCGUUGUCCGGAAUUAUUGGGCGUAAAGCGCGCGCAGGCGGUCCUUUAAGUCUGAUGUGAAAGCCCACGGCUCAACCGUGGAGGGUCAUUGGAAACUGGGGGGACUUGAGUACAGAAGAGAAGAGUGGAAUUCCACGUGUAGCGGUGAAAUGCGUAGAGAUGUGGAGGAACACCAGUGGCGAAGGCGGCCCGCUGGGCAGUGGCUGACGCUGAAGCGCGACAGCGUGGGGAGCAAACAGG